GAGAGAGACUACUCGGUCUCUGCGCCUUCUGCCUGCUACUACCUGUGAGGCAAAAGACACAAGAACAAGACCCCAGUGCUUGGGCCUUCUCAGAGUUAGGAAACAAGAUAGAAGACAAAGAGGAAACUGAGAAAGAAUCCAUUCAAUAACAACUUUGAAAACAACAACUCUCUUUGCAGUAUCUAAAACCAUUUCCCUAGCUCCCUGAGCAACAAUCUGGUGCUUAGAUCCUGAAUGUCCUCUCCAGCUGGCACCCAAUGACACCACUGUAACUUAUGCUUGUGGAGAAAGAAAUCGACACGGGUGGAGUUAAACGUAUACAGUUGAACGCAGCUUCUUACCUCGGGGUGAUAAGAGACGAGGCUUUCUAGACGAAUGCUUGAAAUGAGACUGGGCAGCUUCAUGAUGGUCGAAGCUUGAGGACUCCUGAACUGGAUCCAGAGGCACCACACCCCUGGCAAGCAUCUCAGGCCCAUGAACUUGACCUGGGACCUGAGGGGGGAAAUGGAUAAAACUUGUGAUUGGCCUUGCACUCACAAUCCUCCUGCUCUAGCAUCUCAAGUGCUAGCAUUAAAGGUAUGAAGCACU
rnacentral:lncRNA from 1 species